CCUACGGGAGGCAGCAGUGGGGAAUAUUGCGCAAUGGGCGAAAGCCUGACGCAGCGACGCCGCGUGAGGGAUGAAGGUCUUCGGAUCGUAAACCUCUGUCAGCAGGGAAGAACGGUCACGGGGCUAAUCAGCAGUGAAUUGACGGUACCUGCAAAGGAAGCACCGGCUAACUCCGUGCCAGCAGCCGCGGUAAUACGGAGGGUGCGAGCGUUAAUCGGAUUUACUGGGCGGAACGCGCUCGUAGGCGGUAUGUCCAGUCAAGGGUGAAAUCCCCGCGCUCAACGUGGGAACUGCCUUUGAAACUUGCAACCUGGAGUGUGUGAGAGGAUAGUGGAAUUCCAUGUGUAGGUGU
rnacentral:rRNA from 1 species